GUCUUCGUAGCUCAGGGGAUAGAGCAUUGGUUUCCGGUACCAAAGGUCGCAGGUUCGAAUCCUGUCGAGGACA
rnacentral:tRNA from 1 species